GCACAGCCGCAGGUCUUCAGAACCAAGGGCUUUCUCCAACCCUCUCUCCUCCAUCGCUGGAGGGGGACAUAUGUUGGACAGAGAAGGAAGUGGACUGCAUAGAAUAAAGGAAGAAACAGAGCUAUCAGGCAUAAAGACAAGUCUAAAGAGAAACCACAAAAUAAGAGACAUACAGCUAUGGAGGAUAAUGCCCGUUGAAAAGGUGCCUACCCCAGGCUCUGCCCACCCAGCCUCCCAGGGCUGGAUUAGAGUUGAGCCACCAUGGUCACCUUCCACCGAGUUUGCAAAGUUGUGCUGGAGUAACUCCCUGAAGAUUUCAACAUACUGGAAAAUACUUAAAGACAAGACACAAGAGGCUGAAGAGAUUGCUCAGUGGUUAAGAGUUGCUCUUCCACAGGACCCACACUGGUGGCUCACAACCAUCCAUAGCUCCAGUUCUAGACCCAGGUAUGUAAACAUCAUUCAUUGAAAAGUAUAAAUUGAAGUGGAAAUUUCUGGUUUCUUUGGAAACUCAGUUGUGGUAUUUUUCUGGAAGCUGUCUUGUGAGAGGAUGUUUUGCUGGAGCAGACACAUGGGAGGCCAUGUGAUGUUUUGCUUAAGUGGACACUAGAGAGGAGAGAAAUGUACCAAAGAACUUGUGGUAUUCCAGCUAAUUGUGGCUGCUUCCGCUGACUCAAGCCAAUUCAGAGGAGCCUUGUGGUUUCUGCUGGAUCAAGCCUCCUCAACUGAUUCGUGUUUGGUGUUCGCUAUUGGACUGGACUGCUGGUUGACAACAAGUGGAAUUGCCCACCCCAAAAGAACUACUAUUAAACAGGUCCACAACCUUUCCUACUAACCUUCUUCCUCCCCCAUCUCUAGUUGAUGGGUUAGAAGGGAAGUUUAAAUAAGAACCGUAAAUAAAGUAGGUUUAGAGAAAAAUCUAAGUCAACAAUAAAUGGAUGGAGGACUGGUACCAGAAUCAGAAGUCAGUUUCCUCAGAGGGAGCUGUCUCUAAUGUUGAGGUCAAACAAACUUGUUCCCCUCGCAUUUUAUCAUGAGAUAUGAUCCAUGUUCAGUCCAUGACCUUUGUUUUCCCUGGUGUUUCUAUUGCCUUUCUUUUUCUGGUUUCAUUUCACUUUGUCUUGACUCCUAAACUCCCAAUCAUGCUUUGAAGUAGAUCCAGACCUUGCCCUUGCUCAGACUCCUCUUUAUCUGUCAGUCACCUAGGCCUGCUCUACAGGGUAUGCUAGAGUCCCCUUCACUGCUACAACACCAGGGUGAUAUGCUCUGACCUGGAGGUGGGGCAUGCUUUCCUCUCAGUUGGAUUUUCUUACUGUCUUAACAGUACAUGAUGGAUAAGCCAAGCCUGAGCAUACAAACUGUCUACAUUUGCUCUCACCUCAGGUGGAGCCAAGGCAUACAACUCAUCUCCUGAGAACUUGGACACCAGUGCUCUAGCAUCCAGACCUGCGUUCCUUUGAGAGUAGCUUUUCUGCUCCCCACUUUAUCCCAGGCAUCCAGGAAUACCUUCAUCUGUUAAUAAAGCCUUUAGUAAUACGUAAGUUCUAUGUAGCCUGGCUCACACUAUGAAGAACACAUUUACUUCCAGGACACGCCUCCUAUCACGCACAGACCAUUUCAGGCAGUCUACUCUCCCAUUCUCUUUCUGGAAUCCCUGCUUCUUAGGUGUUGGAUAUUUGAGGUAAUCAACCUUUUUCUCAUGUUCUUCUCUUCUCUGUGGUUUGGACAGCAUGCUUCUACUGACAUCUUAGAAUUAUGCAGCCAUGUUUGUAAGUCCCUGGAAGUUCAUUCUCUUCUAAGUGUGCUUUUUAUAUAAAUAUAUUUUGUGCAUUUGGUAUGUCCUCAAAAUUCUGUGUGUUCCACCUCUGAGCUUUCCUGAAGCUCCCUUUGUGCUUCUAGAGGCUUCUUUACCUCUCCCGUUUCUUUCCUCCACCCACUGCUUUUUCUGUGCUAGCUCUCAUCAUGUGCAUCAUGGGAACAUGUAGGUUUUGUUCUUUGGCCCUUCUUAUCUCUCUAAGAACCCCCUUUCUGGCCAUCACCUAUUCAAUGAGUAUCAGUCACUGGCUGAUACUCAUACUCAUACAGGCUCUCACUGCAUCAUGGCUAUUACCCCAGAUGUUCAUGAAGUUUAAGAUCAUCAAAGAAAGAACCUGGAAGUUCAUCCAGCCAGACUGCUAUAUCAAAAUUAAGUGUAGUAGUACUUAGAGGUUCUAUCCACAGGGUGCCUGAAGACUCAAGGAUUGUGAUGCUCAAUCAUAGUCCUGGGGCAACAAGAAAACAAAGCUCAAGCUCCGCACACAGUAGCUUCCAGAAGGUCCAGCUCUACAGUGUCGAGGAGCUACAGGCACUUGUGAUGUGCAGUGAAGCUUUGCUGACAUUAUUCACACUUCUUCUAGGACCCACAAAGAAGAGCAUCCUCACUGGCCAUCAGUCACCAAUGCCUGUGGCAACAAAGAAACUGAAAGAUGCCUCUUGGUAGAACAUGUACAUGAAUAUUCUCCUCCUGCACCCACUCCUAUCAAAACAACAGGGGCCUUUUCUGCUAAUCACUAGUAGCUAAACUUUGCAUAGAAGUGGGAAGGAUAAUGACAUUUGGCAA